rnacentral:lncRNA from 1 species
AAUCUGUAGGGCAGAAGCUGUCUGGGCUCAGUGGCGGCCGGUUCUUCGUCGGAGGACUUGUCGUCUUCCCGAGGAUGCUCACCGGAACCGUCCCCGCAGCACCCCGCGCCCUGUCUCCAUCCCUCGAACCCGAGGGCGGUGCUGGGAAGGGCAGGGGCGGGGCCUGCGCUAGGGCCUUCCUCUGCAUCGGGGGCCCCCCAGGAGUCGGCCUAGAGCCUCUGGGGUUCUCAUGCGAAGAUCGGGAAACACGCCAUCAAUCAGUGUAGAAGACUUUCCUGCAGUAUCAGGCUGGUUAUUCACUCUUCGUGUUGGACUGUGCAUCCUGGGAGAUUUUUUUUUUAAUCUUAUGACAGGUGAGAGAAGUGGGAGAAAAGAAACUAAAAAUUACAGACCUGAGGUGAUCUCUCAGGAAUGUUAUCUUCUAUCCUGAGACUUGGAAAAAAAGCUUGGCUCCAAGUCCUACCUUAAGAGGCAACAUACCAUAAUAUAACAUGACAUGAUAUGAUAUAUCAGAGUAUAAUGUGAUAUAACAUAACAACAUAACAUAAGAUAACAUAACAUAAGACAGUACAGAGCCUGGCAACACCUAUGAAAACCACUGGGUUUCUUCCCAAUACCUCAAACUUGCUUGGUUCCCAAGUGCUUCCUGAAGACAGCAGUGCUUUGACCGGCUUGAACAUAAACUGAGCAAAAUCCACUGAGUACAGCUGUGAACUGAAGUUCCUCUCAACCAGAAAGUCCCACCUUCAAAGACGAAGCAUUUCAGAAGGUUGAUUGUUAAACUAUUGAAUGAUUGGGAUGGGUUGGAAUGUUUCAAUUCCAAAGCCAAAUUAUCUCGGGCUAUCUUAUCCUUCUAGAUAACCACCCAAGGUCUACAUUGUUUGACCUGACAUCCUUGUGACUAGUAGGUUAAAUCCCUCUGGAAUGUACAAACCGACCCCUUCCUUCCACCAACCCAGAAGUUAAAACUUGUCAUCCGUCAGAUAACAUCUGGAGCCUACAGAGGCUUCCUCACUUUGCCACUUCACGUUUCUACCAAUGUAUUCAAAAAGCACAUUGAUUUAUAAUGUUAAUCUAUUACUAUAAAAAUCUUCAUGAAGGCCAGGCAUGGUAGUACAGUGCCUUUUGUCUCGGCAGAGGCAGAGGCAACACCUUUCUGUGUUCAGGGCCAGCUUGGUCUACAUAGAAAGUUCCAGGCUAGCCAGCUGUUACUACUAUGGAACAUGAUAUUUGGGGAAACCUAUAUCUAUGUUCUCUGCCCAUGGCCACUCAUAUUAGACUUUAGACAGCCCUUGUAGGAGAUGGGUGAGAACUGCUUUAUUCUUACUAUAAAAUUGACUUAUAUUAUGCA